rnacentral:misc_RNA from 1 species
GUCGUAACAAGGUUUCCGUAGGCGAACCUGCGGAAGGAUCAUUACCACACCUAAAACAAUUCCACGUGAACCGUUUGUAUUUGUUGUGUGUUGUCAAUAUCAAUUUUAUAUUGGUGUUGAUGACUGAACGAAGGUAUUAUCCUUUGGAUGAUACUGAUGUUAUUUUAAACCAUUUUCUAAAUACUGAUAUCUACUCUAUAGACGAAAGUCUGUAGUUUGUAAAGUAAUAACAACUUUCAGCAGUGGAUGUCUAGGCUC